ensembl:lincRNA
UAUCUCUCUGUGGUCUCUCCCCCCUGCCCCCGCCCACCUCCGCUUUCGGCCACGUCUCACUUCCCUUUUCUCUCCUCUACGCGCCCUCCCGCCCCUCUGUCCAGGCCCCUUUCAUCCUGAGGCUCGAAGUGGAACUUUCCCCCACUCCCUUACUUGGAGAUUUCUUUUUUCCCAGUGACCUGGGCUGCACUUUGCCCCCGCUCCCUGCCUGCCAAUCUCCUCGGGGGUAGGGCCUCUCUCUUUCCAUUCUUGCGACUCCCCCUCCUCGAGAGCCCCGGGAGGCCCAGCCUCCCAGAAUCCGAUCUCCCCCCAACGCAGCAGCCCCCCGCCGAGGAAGGAAGAGGCCUCCUCGGAAUGAAUGGCUGGCAAUGCCCCCCACACCAGCUAAGAAAUGUGAAAACAGCUAAAGAAGAAAUAAAGCAAGAGAGAAAAAUGAGGGAAAGGGGGUAAACAAAGAGAGAAUUCACCUUUCAUCGGCCUGCAAAGUCCUCGGUUGGAGAAUGAAGUUAAGACACAAAAGCUUUUGCAACAACAACAUUGUGGGGGAAGGCACGAGAGGGAAGCCGAACAGCCAUUAAAGCAAUUAAGAAAAGAUUAAGGUCGCUUGGUGGUGGAGGGAGAGAGAGACCCAUUAAUCAAUAGGCCAGAAAUCGCAGCAGGCUACAAAAUUAUAAAACUAGGCAAACCCGAGAACCGCACGGGCUCACCUCAACCAAGAUGCCCGAGCAACUAGAAAACAGAGACAUUAUAUUCAUUUCUCUGGCUUGGUGGGGGAAAAAAAACCGGUUCUUAGAGGAACCCUUUCCUUUUUAAUCAGCUAAUGGAGACAUCCUGAGGUUGGGGGUUGGGGAGAUCCACAUUGAUUUCAAGGCAAAUUCUGAAGCAUCAGAGUCUAAAGAGAAACUUGCAAUAAUGCACAGACACACUGUAACUGGGCUGGGGGGACCUCGGGGCAGAAAGCUGUGUGAUCGCAAUCUUAGGUCCUGAAAUGAUGAUGGCUUCAUCGUUUACAAAUAUUUGCUGCCUCUUUUGGGGGAAGCCCACAUCCCUGCCCUGCUGAGAGCAGGCCUAGCUUUGUGACUUGCUUUGGCCCUUGCAGUGGACGUCCCUUCUGGACAGGAGCUCUGAGCCCCAGUAGCACAUGGUUUGCCGCGUACUUUUUCUCCUUCGCAGCAACAGCCUGACCGUGUUCUCACCAGUUCCCAAAGGGAAGCCAUGAUGGAGUGACGGCUCGGCUGACGACAGAGACACUUGUAUCUUGAGUAAAAAAUGAGCUUUGUUGUUUUAUGCUACUGAGAAGUGGGAGAUAUCUGAUAGGCAGCCUACCCUGGUGGAUUCAUUUCCUUGCAAUGCGUCCCAUCUGCAUAGAACUUUCGUUGGCUCCCUACUUCUUACAGGAUUAAUCCUGAACACUUGGUCAUAACAUCAAGCCCUGUUCUCAGCAUCCAUCUAUCCUAAAUUCUGCCAUUCUCUUUGUGUCUUGUGUGACAGGCUUCCUUACUGUGCCCCACAGGUAACAAGUUUUGGUGAAUAAGUUUCCCUGGAUUAAGAGAUCUGAAUCGCUCCGGCCCUUGUUCUCUGGGACGCCGACUCAGUGAAGCCUUUUUAUGUGUGUGUGUGGUACCAGGGAUUGAACUCAGGAGCACUUAGCCACUGAGUCACAUCCCCAGCCCUUUUCUAUACUUUAUUUUGAGACAGGGUCUUGAUAAGUUCCUUAGAGCCUCUCUCAUUUGCUGAGGCUGGCUUUGAACUUGGGAUUCUCUUGCCUCAGCCUCCUGAGUCAUUGGGAUUACAGGUGUGUGCCACUGUGCCCAGCUCCUGUGAGGCCAUUUUUAAUCAUCAUUUCCUGCUCUAGGACAUCUCUGGGUCACUCUAGCUGAUGAUCUGGGUGAUUAAAAUAACAUCUGUUUUUACUUAAUGAAUAUAUUGUGUUCUGCUUCCUAAGUGCCAGGCGCUAUAUCAAAAGCUUUACAAAGCACAUUUAAUUCUCGCCCAACCUAUAUUAAAAAGAAGGAAAUAGAAUAAGAUUUGGACCAAUGCCUCCAAGUUGUAUUUCCUUACUCUAAGGAGCCACUAGUUUUAAAAAUAUUUUUAUUUGUUCUUUUUAGAUAUAUAUGAGAGUAGAGUGUAUUUUGACAUACACAUACAUGGAGUAUAACUUAUCUAAUUAGGAUCCCAUUCUUGUAGUUGUACGUGAUGUGGAAUUUCACUGGUGAUAUGUUUAUGUACGUACAUAAGAAAGUUGUGUCAGAUUCAUUCCAAUGUCUUUCCUGUUCCCAUCCUCCUUCCUUCCCUUCAUUCCCCUUUGUCUAACCCAUUGAACUUCUAUUCUUCCCUCCCCCACCCUGGUUGUAUGUCAGCAUCCACAUAUCAGAGAAAACAUUCGACCUUUUGAUUUUUGAGGAUUGGCUUAUUUACCUUACCAUGAUAUUCUUCAGAUCCAUCUAUUUACCAGUGAAAGUCAUAAAGUCAUUCAUUUUAUGGCUGAGUAAUACUCCAUUGUGUAUAUGUACCACCUUUCAUCUGCUGAUGGGCGCCUAGGUUGACUCUGUAGCUUAACUUGUUGGGAGCCAUGGACAAGUCAGGAUGGCACCUGGCAUUUUGCCAGAAGGAGUGGUUGAGAAGUGGUGACAGCUAGCCAUUGGGAUGAUGAUAAUUAAGUUAAGCCGUGUAUAAUUAUUAAGAUAAUGACUGAUUGCUGUAACUGGAUGAUGCUGGGUUGAAGCAAGCUGUGUAUUCAGUUGUGUAUAUAGACCUCUGCUGUCCGGCAAUAGGGCGGCUCCUGCUGCCUCCAGUGCCCGCUACUUUUGAGUUCCCGUUGAGUUCCCAUUGGCUCUCUCGGAGUUUCCAUGGAGUUCUGGAGAGUUCCCAUGGGAUUCUGGCAAUAAAGUAGUUCCUGUAUGAACCUACAAGUGGCUCAUGCCCGCCCGGUUAUUUUUGUGCCCAUCCAGACUGUGGCAUUAACUAUUGUGAAUUGAGCUGCUAUAAACAUUGAUGUGGCUGCAUCUUGGUAGUGUGGGAGCCACAGAUUGAUCUGUAAGCUCUUUAACAGACAAUAUAAAGGAAGGAGCCAGGUUAGUUUUAGAGCCAUGGUGACUUUAAAGGUGAAAGCAUGCCAGG